rnacentral:rRNA from 1 species
AUGAACGCUAGCUACAGGCUUAACACAUGCAAGUCGAGGGGCAUCAGGAAGAAAGCUUGCUUUCUUUGCUGGCGACCGGCGCACGGGUGAGUAACACGUAUCCAACCUGCCCUUUACUCGGGGAUAGCCUUUCGAAAGAAAGAUUAAUACCCGAUAGCAUAAUGAUUCCGCAUGGUUUCAUUAUUAAAGGAUUCCGGUAAAGGAUGGGGAUGCGUUCCAUUAGGUUGUUGGUGAGGUAACGGCUCACCAAGCCUUCGAUGGAUAGGGGUUCUGAGAGGAAGGUCCCCCACAUUGGAACUGAGACACGGUCCAAACUCCUACGGGAGGCAGCAGUGAGGAAUAUUGGUCAAUGGGCGCUAGCCUGAACCAGCCAAGUAGCGUGAAGGAUGAAGGCUCUAUGGGUCGUAAACUUCUUUUAUAUAAGAAUAAAGUGCAGUAUGUAUACUGUUUUGUAUGUAUUAUAUGAAUAAGGAUCGGCUAACUCCGUGCCAGCAGCCGCGGUAAUACGGAGGAUCCGAGCGUUAUCCGGAUUUAUUGGGUUUAAAGGGAGCGUAGGUGGACUGGUAAGUCAGUUGUGAAAGUUUGCGGCUCAACCGUAAAAUUGCAGUUGAUACUGUCAGUCUUGAGUACAGUAGAGGUGGGCGGAAUUCGUGGUGUAGCGGUGAAAUGCUUAGAUAUCACGAAGAACUCCGAUUGCGAAGGCAGCUCACUGGACUGCAACUGACACUGAUGCUCGAAAGUGUGGGUAUCAAACAGGAUUAGAUACCCUGGUAGUCCACACAGUAAACGAUGAAUACUCGCUGUUUGCGAUAUACAGUAAGCGGCCAAGCGAAAGCAUUAAGUAUUCCACCUGGGGAGUACGCCGGCAACGGUGAAACUCAAAGGAAUUGACGGGGGCCCGCACAAGCAGUGGAGUAUGUGGUUUAAUUCGAAGCAACGCGAAGAACCUUACCAGGUCUUGACAUCGAGUGACGAAUCUAGAGACAGAUUUUUCCUUCGGGACACAAAGACAGGUGGUGCAUGGUUGUCGUCAGCUCGUGUCGUGAGAUGUUGGGUUAAGUCCCGCAACGAGCGCAACCCUUAUGGUCAGUUACUACGCAAGAGGACUCUGGCCAGACUGCCGUUGACAAAACGGAGGAAGGUGGGGAUGACGUCAAAUCAGCACGGCCCUUACGUCCGGGGCUACACACGUGUUACAAUGGGGGGUACAGAAGGCAGCUACACGGCGACGUGAUGCUAAUCCCUAAAGCCUCUCUCAGUUCGGAUUGGAGUCUGCAACCCGACUCCAUGAAGCUGGAUUCGCUAGUAAUCGCGCAUCAGCCACGGCGCGGUGAAUACGUUCCCGGGCCUUGUACACACCGCCCGUCACACCAUGAGAGUUGGGGAUACCCGAAGCCUGUGAGCCAACAUAUCUAUGAGGCAGCAGUCGAAGGUAGAAUCAAUGAUUGGGGUG